rnacentral:rRNA from 1 species
UACGGAGGAUCCAAGCGUUAUCCGGAAUUACUGGGCGUAAAGAGUUGCGUAGGUGGCAUUGUAAGCGAGUAGUGAAAGCGUUCGGCUCAACCGGAUACACAUUACUCGAACUGCAAAGCUAGAGGAUGAGAGAGGUUAUUGGAAUUCCCAGUGUAGGAGUGAAAUCCGUAGAUAUUGGGAGGAACACCGAUGGCGUAGGCGGAUAACUGGCUCAUUCCUGACACUAAGGCACGAAAGCGUGGGGAGCAAACGGG